rnacentral:rRNA from 1 species
GACAGAGGGUGCAAACGUUGUUCGGAAUUACUGGGCGUAAAGCGAGUGUAGGCGGUCUGUAAAGUCGGGUGUGAAAGCCCCGGGCUCAACCCGGGAAGUGCACUCGAAACUCACAGGCUAGAGUAUCGGAGAGGUUGGUGGAAUUCUCGGUGUAGAGGUGAAAUUCGUAGAUAUCGAGAGGAACACCGGCGGCGAAGGCGGCCAACUGGACGAAUACUGACGCUGAGACUCGAAAGCGUGGGGAGCAAACAGG